GGCUUCUGCACAUGCACUGAAAUGUAUUUUCUACUCACAUCAUACAAUCUCCUUCCAAGUUUUGAAUCUCCUGGCACAGUUUUAUGCAUCCAGAUGAUCUCAUCAUCAUCAUCAUACAAAACAUGACUUGAAGAAAGAGAAAACAGAUGUUCCUACCACACUUCGGAUUGUGUUAAGGGGAAAGAGAAGACAGCUGAUCUCUUCUCCAGAGAACAUGGCCAUUGCACUGGAUAAGAAGACAAGGGCUGGCUCACAAGGAAGAUCAUUCUACAGCUUCCCAGUGACAGACUAAGGACUCCAAAGAGUGAACUCUGGCAAUUUAAGCAGUACACCAGAGAGACAUCAAAAGCACAUGUGUCCUUUCACAUCCUCAGCCUACAUGAACUGAAGAUCCUAAAGGAGAACUCCAGCAGGCAAGGGAACUCCUGAAAUGACAGCAUGACUAUUCUGCAGAGAAGCCACACGGAGCUGCACGAUGCUGAUUACAGGAGGCCCUCCCACCCAGGCGCCCUCUUUGGCAAGGCGCCGUGGCCCGCGCGCUCUCGCAAUGACUGUUCUCUCACUGCUGCUCAAAGCACUCGGGCUCCCGGGUCAGCCAUGAAAAUUAAUAACCAGCAUUUCUUCUGCAGGGUAGAUGCAGAGCUAGAAUUCCGUGAAUAGUACCUUGUAGCCACCCUAGCCCAAUCUGGGGCCUCCCAACAGAUUUUAUGAACAGAAGAGGGUUGGGUCUGGCUGAUAAUUUGGGAAAAAGAUGAGAGGGGAAACCCCCAGCACAGCAGGAACUGAUGUUAGUGAGACAAUAGCUGGAACUCUGACUCAUUGUUGAAGCAAUGUCCAAACAUGAGCAUCAGAGGACACACUGUACUGCAGAAAGAGCCAGCUUCUGUAUAAGCUGCACAC